ensembl:lncRNA LINC01091 long intergenic non-protein coding RNA 1091
CUCUUUUUUUUUUUUUUUUUUUUUGAGACGGAGCCUUGCUCUGUCGCCCAGGCUGGAGUGCAGUGGCGCAAUCUCGGCUUACUGCAAGCUCUGCCUCCUGGGUGCACGCCAUUCCCCUGCCUCAGCCUCCGGAGUAGCUGGGACUACAGGCGCCUGCCACUGCGCCCGGCUAAUUUGACAUUGCUCUUAAAAGUAUGUUAGAACACUUCCUUAUUCUUCAUGCAUCCAUAGAGAAAAGGAAAAGUCUUCUUAACUCUCCGGAAGAAUUAAUCAGAGGAGCAUUUCUAACUUCUUUCCACCCACUCACUCACUCUCCUUCCACUGACCAUUGAAAAUGGGGGAAGAAAAAAGCGAUGAGGCUUCCUCUUUGAAGAUCACAGGUGAGAAGAUUAGGUGCUUUCUCAGAAGCCCAGCAACCUGAUGGGAGUGUGGAGUGAGCAAGACCCAAAUCGGAGCUUCAUCCCUGCAUGGUUCAUUUUGCUUAUUUGGCAAACUUGCCCUGCAGAAUCUACUCAAGCUUCCUCAGUUUCUCAAAUCAUUCUUGGGCAACAAAUGAACAAGAAAGAGGACGUCUUAUUAUCUGGUGUCUGGCUUGCUGAUUUAAUAACCUAGGAGACAGUGUUUGAAGAACACAAACUCUAAAGUCCUUCACUUAAAAAAAAAAAAAAACUUUCCCAAAUUGCUUACCAUUUGGAAAAAUUGCCUUACCUUCUUCAGUCAUCUCUGAUGUUGUCAUCCUCAGAGUAAGAAGUACGCAUUCAUAAGGAACCAUAACGUCCUUCAGGAAAUCCAGUACACCCUACAAUUUUACCUAAAACUUUGAUGUUGUUUUUUCUGAGCAUUUUACCUUCUAGGGAAAUGGAUCUCAUGCUGUUUAUCAGUUUCUGAAAGUUGUUAUUAAUCUCCCCUCAUCCCAAAAUUGAAGAACUUUGCUUAAAUCUUAGAAUCAGAACUUUGGCUCCAGUAAUAAAGACUUUUCAAUAUCUUUAUCUGCCAUUGAGUCUUACCUAACGAAAUAAAGCCUCCAAAGUGGGAAUUUGAAA